rnacentral:rRNA from 1 species
AACAUAUUUUCUACACGUGGAAACUCGUCGGCAAUGGCUCAUUAAAUCAGUUAUCGUUUAUUUGAUGGUACCUUACUACCUGGAUAACCGUGGUAAUUCUAGAGCUAAUACCUGCUUAAAAGCCCCAAUUCUUGGAGGGGGUGUUUUUUUUAUAAAAAAACGCUGUGCUUCGGGACUCCUUGGUGAUUCAUAAUAACUUAACGAAUCGCAUGGCCUUGCGCCGGCGAUGGUUCAUUCAAAUUUCUGCCCUAUCAACUUUCGAUGGUAGGAUAUAGGCCUACCAUGGUUUCUGCGGGUAACGGGAAAUUAGGGAUCGAUUCCGGAGAGGGAGCCUGAGAAACGGCUACCACAUCCAAGGAAGGCAGCAGGCGCGCAAAUUACCCAAUCCCGACACGGGGAGGUAGUGACAAUAAAUACUGAUACAGGGCUCUUCUGCCUCUUGUAAUUGGAAUGAGUACAAUUUAAAUCUCUUACCGAGGAACAAUUGCAGGGCAAGUCUGGUGCCAGCAGCCGCGGUAAUUCCAGCUCCAAUACCGUAUAUUAAAGUUGUUGCAGUUAAAAAGCUCGUAGUUGAACCUUGGGCCUGGCUGGCCGGUCCGCCUCCCCGCAUGCACUGGUCCGGCCGGGUCUUUCCUUCUGGGUAGCCGCAUGCCCUUCACUGGGUGUGGAGGGGAACCAGGACUUUUACUUUGAAAAAAUUAAAGUGUUCAAAGCAGGCCUAUGCUCGAAUACAUUAGCAUGGAAUAAUAGAAUAGGACGUGUGGAUCUAUUUUGUUGGUUUCUAGGACCGCCGUAAUGAUUAAUAGGGAUAGUCGGAGGUGUCAGUAUUCCGUUGUCAGAGGUGAAAUUCUUGGAUCUACGGAUAACUAACUACUGCGAAAGCAUUAACCAAGGAUGUUUUCAUUAUUCAGUGAACGAAAGUUAGGGGAUCGAGACGAUCAAAUACCGUCGUAGUCUUAACCUAAACAUGGCCACUAGGGAUCGGGGAGG